UUUUAUAAAAGACCUCAUCCCAACUAACCUCAGAGCCUCCUGAAAAAACCAACUAUACUUUACUGUACUUUACCCUCAAAACCCCUCUCUUCCCUCCAAGCAAUCUGUUAAUCGCCAGCUAUAUUCUCUAAACUCAUCUUUGAUUUUCCCAAUCUUCCAUCUCACACGCUAUGAUUGGCAUGGAUGCACUGAGCAGAAAGACGACAUUUGGUAACAGGACCCGCCGGCAAAUUUCAGUCCAGCCAUUGCGCUGUUCAGUAGAGCUUCAAAUUGAAAUUGAAGGGCAAGAGACCAUAAUACCAGCAGGAGGGAUAUGGAGGGUAAAGGCCAAUGAGUUCUGUUGCGAGGAGAUCAUUCCGGAUCUUCUUGGUGUCUUGCGUAUUAAAUUUGUGGGAGAAGAGGAACCCGCCGCAACCAUCACUGCUCAUCACGUUCGGAAUUGUGCUUAUAUAUUCUUUAAUGAGGACGCUGACCAUGCAUUUACGGUCACCGGCAUCAGAGGAACUCUCUGGGACCAUAUACCGCUCAGCUGGAUGCUAAGAAAUUAUCAUGGACGAAAUGAAGUCCUCAUAUAUUCUCGACCUCAACGUAGACGGACCAAUUUUGAUGGUAAUUUCUCAUUCCUUUUACUGAUUCGUCUUCUAUUCCUGUCAGUGUCAGGAAUUGCAGAGAGAGAAUAUUUAGCUUAACGGAACGAGACAGCAUCAGCUUUUACUGUUCAACGACGUUGCUGGCAAAUCAGAGGCCGGGGAAGCUGUUUAGGUCAAUGGAUUUCUUAGUCCUUUGAGUUUACAGAUUCUGGUGCUUUACCAGCGGUGGUAUGUGAUUGGUUUGUGUUGCGACCAUCAAGCUUUUGUUGGUACCCCAUUGAGCGAACGCUGCUCUGCUUUUUCUAUCCCAAUAAAGUUUUCCUUUGCAAGGGACUUUGGUAUUAGGAAGGGACCUGAUCUGUGAAUUUGUCUUACUUUCUCAUUCACUACCCCUUCUGAUUUCAUUAGAUGUUUCUUUUGUUGAUUAGCCAUCGCUGGACCUGGAAUGGUGGAGAGGAGCAAUACAUAAUAUUCUGCCCUGUUCCUGGUAUUUUCAGGUUUUGUAGUGCAGUUUUGGAUGCAAGGGCUUUUGGUCUAUAAGUUUUCAUUGGAAAGUUUUGUAAUGUAAUGUGUUAUGCCAGACAAGUACUUGAUUAAUGAAUGGCCAUGUCACGUGGACAUUUUAAUUAAGGAUGGUUUUAUCAUCUGGGAAGUGCAUAAUGCGCUCUAUGUAGUUGCUAAUAUAUCAUCAAUGUCGCAGAAGAAGAUGCAUCAAAGAAGCUACGUCUAAUUUAUAACAUGACAAAAGAGUGUGUAAAGCAAUGGAUGUCCAAAAAGUCUUUGAUUUGACUAGCCUCUGCAUUUGAGGAAACCUUCCUUGGUCCAUUGAAGAUCAGAAUUCUAGGGCAAAUGAAAAAAUGCUUUUCUUUUUUUUUUAUAUGUUUCUAAGACAUUAAAUCUUCUGUAGUUAUCAGUGUUGAAGAAAAUUAUAUCAUCAAAAUCAUAUCAUUUGUGGUUUGAAUUCUCG
rnacentral:misc_RNA from 1 species